rnacentral:tRNA from 1 species
GGCAGACUGGCCCAGUGGGAGCGCGCUCGGGCUGUUGACCUAGAGGUCAAUGGAUCGAAACCACGCUCUGCCA